UGAGGAAGUAGAGCCCUGUGGCAGUCACAGCAGAUUUUAGAGGGGAAAAAUUAAUUUUGAGUAUGCCUGGGUCUUGGAAGAGAAAGACAAACUGAGGGGUGUCUCUCAGCAUUUUGAAGAGAGCAUCAGAUGAUGUAAAAGAGCAGGGGAUGUCUGUAAGAUCUGUGGCAAAAUUGUAUGGCAUUUGCCAUGUAACCUUGUACAGAUUCUGCAAAAAGAGGAAGAUGUUAGAAGAGAAGGGAUCAAGGGAACCUCCGAGUGUAGGCUACCACAGUGGAAAGAAGAUCUUCACUGAUGAACAAGAGAAAGAUCUUACAGAAUAUCAGAUGAGCCAGCUGAUGCAUUUUAUGGACUGUGUCCAUGUGAAGAGCGUACUGGUUUUCAGCCUACAUGAAAAGAAACACAACUCUGUCCAUUAGGAGCCCCGAGGCCACAAGCCUGGCACGGGCCACCAGUUUUAAUAAACACAAUGUGGCAAUGUUUUUCAGAAAACUUGACGAAAUAAUAAGGAGGCACAGCUUAACUGCCAACGACAUUUGGAAUGUCGAUGAAACAGGCAUUAAAACUGUGCAAACUCCGGUCAGUGUGAUUGCAAAACGUGGCUCUAAACAGGUUGGGGCAAUGACAUCAGGAGAAAGGGGUCAACUGGUCAGUCUCGCAUUUACAGUCAAUGCCAUUGGCAACACAAUUCCUCCAAUGUUUGUGUUCCCACGCCUUCGUACGCAGACCACUUUGUAUGAGAUGGGCCGAUAGGAAGUACUGGAUAUGGAAAUAAAUCAGGAUGGAUGCAGUUGGAGGAUUUUGAAAUCUUUCUGAAGCACUUCGCAAACCACACCAAGGUCAGCCCUGAGAAAAAGUUGCUACUUCUCCUAGAUAACCAUUGCUCACACGUCAAUUACAGCCAUUGACUACUGCAAGAACAAUGGAAUUGUGAUGCGAACAUUCCCCCCUCAUUGUAGUCAUAAACUCCAACCCCUCAACAGGAGUGUAUAUGGCCCACUCAAGAAGAUGGUGAACAGUGCAAGUGAUUGCUGGAUGAGAAUGAAUCCAGGAAAGACCAUGACAAUAUAUGAUAUACCAGGUCUUGUGAGGAUAGCACUUCUUUCUUCAGCUACACUAAAGAAUAUUCAAGCUGGAUUCCAGUGCAGUGGAAUUUGGCCGUAAAAUCCAGACAUACAGUAUUCGAGGAGAGUGUAUACACCUUCACAAGUCACAGAUCGUCUUGAUCCAGCCGUCCACCAGGCCACUCCUCCAGCUACCCAUCUGGCCACUCCUCCAGGUGGCCACUAGGCUAUCGCCUCAUCAAGCUGUGCUAAAAAAACAGUGAACUUUAGCCCAGGUGAUGUGCGACCCUUACCAAAAGCUGUACCAAGGAAAAUCCCAGUAACAGGAAGAAAGAGGAGACAGACAGCAAUACUCACUGAUACACCUGUCAAGAUGGCUCUGGGAGAAGAGCAGAGAACAAGGUCUGACAAAGUGAAACGGAAAAUAAGCUUGCCCAAGAAAGGCCUGGCCAACAAACAGGAUAAAUCGACUCGCACAAACCAACAAUGCCCUAGGCUGUCUAAGAAAACACCGGGAAAGAACAAACAGAAAUUGCAUAACUUUGAGCCACCGGACACAGAUUCCUCAGAUGCUGAGGAGAAUUUAUGUAUUGUGUGCAUGGAACACAAAAACUCAAAGCCAAAAGAAGGUUGGGUUCAGUGUUUGACCUGUAAUCUGUGGGCCCACGAAGCCUGCACUCCAGGAGUGCCAUACAUCUGUCACCACUGUGACUCUGAUGGUGACUAACACCUUGUGCACACACACACGUUCAAGUUAAAUUUUAUUAUGGCCAAUUACUAUGACUGACAGUAACAAACAUGCUUACACACACACGCAUGCACAUUAUUCAGUUUUAUUAUGAUGAUGCUAAUGUAUCACACGCACACACAAAUAGUGUUCAAUUGUUGAAGCUGGUGCACAUUUGCUCAUUUUAUUCAGUUUUGUUACACACACACACCAAAUAUUUUGAAAA